rnacentral:rRNA from 1 species
UGGGCGCAAGCCUGAUCCAGCCAUGCCGCGUGUGUGAAGAAGGUCUUCGGNUUGUAAAGCACUUUNNGUUGGGAGGAAGGGCAGUAAAUUAAUACCUUGCUGUUUUGACGUUACCNACAGAAUAAGCACCGGCUAACUCCGUGCCAGCAGCCGCGGUAAUACGGAGGGUGCAAGCGUUAAUCGGAAUUACUGGGCGUAAAGCGCGCGUAGGUGGUUCGUUAAGUUGGAUGUGAAAUCCCCGGGCUCAACCUGGGAACUGCAUUCAAAACUGGCNAGCUAGAGUAUGGUAGAGGGUGGUGGAAUUUCCUGUGUAGCGGUGAAAUGCGUAGAUAUAGGAAGGAACACC